UCUUGGUUCAGGACGAACGCUGGCGGCGUGCCUAACACAUGCAAGUCGAGCGGGGACAUGCGACGGAUCGGAAGUUUCGGAUGGAAGUGAAGAUGUAUGUUCUAGCGGCGGACGGGUGAGUAACGCGUGAGCAACCUGUCCUUCACAGGGGGAUAACACAGCGAAAGUUGUACUAAUACCGCAUAAGACCACGGCGGGGCAUCCCGAAGGGGUCAAAGGAGCAAUCCGGUGAAGGGUGGGCUCGCGUCCGAUUAGAUAGUUGGUGAGGUAACGGCCCACCAAGUCGACGAUCGGUAGCCGACCUGAGAGGGUGAUCGGCCACAUUGGGACUGAGACACGGCCCAAACUCCUACGGGAGGCAGCAGUGGGGAGUAUUGGGCAAUGGGGGGAACCCUUGACCCAGCAACGCCGCGUGAGGGAAGAAGGUUUUCGGAUCGUAAACCUCUGUCCUAUGUGAAGAGUAAGAGACGGUAGCAUAGGAGGAAGCCCCGGCUAACUACGUGCCAGCCGCCGC
rnacentral:rRNA from 1 species